UACGAAGGGGGCUAGCGUUGCUCGGAAUCACUGGGCGUAAAGGGUGCGUAGGCGGGUCUUUUAAGUCAGGGGUGAAAUCCUGGAGCUCAACUCCAGAACUGCCUUUGAUACUGAGGAUCUUGAGUUCGGGAGAGGUGAGUGGAACUGCGAAGUGUAGAGGUGAAAUUCGUAGAUAUUCGCAAGAACACCAGUGGCGAAGGCGGCUCACUGGCCCGAUACGUGACGCUGAGGCA
rnacentral:rRNA from 1 species